rnacentral:rRNA from 1 species
AUGGAGAUUUGUGGCGUGAAGGAUGUGGCCAUCAAUAGACCGACCCUCGUCUCGAGGUUCGCCAUACAUCAAGUGGUAUCAGAGAUCGGCGUUUCUCACGGCACUUUAGAGGAGAUAGCCGGCGUGCCGUCACCAUGGAGCUACUGGAGGCUCCCCGGUGAUUUUUUGCUGGAGGAGAAAGGUUAUGGUGCUGAACUUUUUCACACCUGCCGUAAAGUGGGAGAGAAAGUUUGCGCCACAACGACCGUCCAUGACGGUUCAAUCAACACUAUUGUCAUCGACAUGGUGGAGAAACUGCAACUAUCGAUGACACCACAAUAA